GGCCGGUUAGCUCAGUCGGUUAGAGUGUGGUGCUGAUAACACCAAGGUCGUGGUUUUGAUCCCCGUUCGGUCC
rnacentral:tRNA from 1 species